CAGCAGCCACGGUAAUACAGAGGGUGCAAGCGUUAAUCGGAUUUACUGGGCGUAAAGCGUGCGUAGGUGGCUGUUUAAGUCGGAUGUGAAAGCCCUGGGCUUAACCUGGGAACUGCAUUCGAUACUGGAUAGCUAGAGAUCGGUAGAGGGCAGCGGAAUUCCGGGUGUAGCGGUGAAAUGCGUAGAUAUCCGGAGGAACACCGAUGGCGAAGGCAACUGCCUGGGCCUGAUCUGACACUGAGGCACGAAAGCGUGGGUAGCAAACAGGAUUAGAUACCCCAGUAGUCCCUGUCUCUUAUAC
rnacentral:rRNA from 1 species